UGCGUAGACGGUUAUGUAAGUCGGGUGUGAAAGCCCCGGGCUCAACCUGGGAAUGCCAUUCGAGACUGCAUAGCUAGGGUGCGGAAGAGGGAAGCGGAAUUUCCGGUGUAGCGGUGAAAUGCGUAGAUAUCGGAAGGAACACCAGUGGCGAAAGCGGCUUCCUGGUCCAGCACCGACGUUCAGGCACGAAAGCGUGGGGAGCAAACAGGAUUAGAUACCCUGGUAGUCCACGCCAUAAACGAUGAGAACUAGACGUUGAAGGGGUAAGCCCUGCAGUGUCGUAGCUAACGCGCUAAGUUCUCCGCCUGGGGAGUACGGCCGCAAGGUUGAA
rnacentral:rRNA from 1 species